GUCCCGGUAGCUCAGUUGGUAGAGCACCAGUUGGUAGAGCCUGUGCAAAAGCGCCUAGCAAUAACUGCCAGGGGUCGCAGGAUCGAAGCCUGCCCGUGAUU